GACAACUCAGAGGAAGUGCUCCCUCGCCAGCUGCCCGUCUGCCGCCCCAGCAGCCCGACUGGCAGCCCCACUAGACCCCAGGGAGAUAGAGAACCCCCCAGCAUUAGCAAAGGUAAGGAGGCUGGGGGUGUAAAUUAAAAAAAAAAAUUGAGUGUGUCUGUUAGAGAGUGUGAGUGUGUCUGUUAGUGUGUGUGUGUGUCUGACUGUGUCUGUUAGUGAGUGUGUCAGUUUCUGUUAGCUAAUGUAUGCAUAUCUGUGUGUGUGUGUGUGUGUGUGUGUGUAUUUAGAAUGCGGGGCGGGGGAGGGGGGCGCCUGAGUUUUGUCCUGCCUAGGUCAGCACAAAACCAGGAUACACCACUGAGCUCCACCAUCAAUAUAUCUACAGCUUCUUAUACACAAAGUCAACUGCUAUUUUUUCUUCAAUAAUGGUGUUCUCC
rnacentral:lncRNA from 1 species